AUUGAACGCUGGCGGCAGGCCUAACACAUGCAAGUCGAGCGGAUGAGGGUAGCUUGCUAUCUGAUUCAGCGGCGGACGGGUGAGUAACGCCUAGGAAUCUGCCUGGUAGUGGGGGACAACGUUUCGAAAGGAACGCUAAUACCGCAUACGUCCUACGGGAGAAAGUGGGGGAUCUUCGGACCUCACGCUAUCAGAUGAGCCUAGGUACGAUUAGCUAGUUGGUGAGGUAAAGGCUCACCAAGGCGACGAUCGUUAACUGGUCUGAGAGGAUGAUCAGUCACACUGGAACUGAGACACGGUCCAGACUCCUACGGGAGGCAGCAGUGGGGAAUAUUGGACAAUGGGCGAAAGCCUGAUCCAGCCAUGCCGCGUGUGUGAAGAAGGUCUUCGGAUUGUAAAGCACUUUAAGUUGGGAGGAAGGGCAGUAAGUUAAUACCUUGCUGUUUUGACGUUACCGACAGAAUAAGCACCGGCUAACUUCGUGCCAGCAGCCGCGGUAAAAC
rnacentral:rRNA from 1 species